AUGUACAUUCAUACAACUUAUUGUUAAUGCACCGAAUCCAAUUAGAACUCCGCAGUUAAGCGUGCUUGAGCUAGAGUAGUACUGGGAUGGGUGACUUCCUGGGAAGUCCUAGUAUUUUACAUG
rfam:Picea glauca, whole genome shotgun sequence.